GGUUCGAUCCCUGGCUCAGAUUGAACGCUGGCGGGAUGCUUUACACAUGCAAGUCGAACGGCAGCACGGACUUCGGUCUGGUGGCGAGUGGCGAACGGGUGAGUAAUGUAUCGGAACGUGCCUAGUAGCGGGGAUAACUACGCGAAAGCGUACAAUACCGCAUACGCCCUUCGGGGGAAAGUAGACCUUUCGGCCUGCACUGUUAGCGUCGAGCAUUUUGAUUAUUAUUGGUAGCAACGGCCUGGCGCGACGAUCCGUAGCUGGUUUGAGAGGACGACCAGCCACACUGGGACUGGAGACACGGCCCAGACUCCUACGGGAGGCAGCAGUGGGGAAUUUUGGACAAUGGGGAAACCUGAUCCAGCUGCCAUCCCGCGUGUGCGAUGAAGGCCGCUUGUAAAGCACUUUUGGCAGGAAAGAAAACGGCACGGGAUAAUACCUCGUGCAACUGACGGUACCUGCAGAAUAAGCACCGGCUAACUACGUGCCAGCAGCCGCGGUAAUACGUAGGGGUGCAAGCGUUAAUCGGAAUUACUGGGCGCAAAGCGCGCAGGCGGUUCGGAAAGAAAGAUGAAAUCCCAGAGCUUAACUUUGGAACUGCAUUUAACUACCGAGCUAGAGUGUGUCAGAGGGAGGUGGAAUUAUGUAGCAGUGAAAUGCGUAGAUAUGCGGAGGAACACCGAUGGCGAAGGCAGCUCUCCUGGGAUAACACUGACGCUCGCGCACGAAAGCGUGGGGAGCAAACAGGAUUAGAUACCCUGGUAGUCCACGCCCUAAACGAUGUCAACUAGCUGUUGGGGCCUUCGGCCUUGGUAGCGGAAGCACGGGUAAGUAGUUGACCGCCUGGGGAGUACGGCCGCAAGAUUAAAACUCAAAGGAAUUGAUUUGGACCCGCACAAGCGGUGGAUGAUGUGGAUUAAUUCGAUGCAACGCGAAAAAACCUUACCUACCCUUGACAUGUCUGGAAUCGAAGAGAUUUGGGAGUGCUCGCAAGAGAACCGGAACACAGGUGCUGUAUGGCUGUCGUCAGCUCGUGUCGUGAGAUGUUGGGUUAAGUCCCGCAACGAGCGCAACCCUUGUCAUUAGUUGCUACGAAAGGGCACUCUAAUGAGACUGCCGGUGACAAACCGAGGAAGGUGAUGACGUCGUCCUCAUGGCCCUUGCGGUAGGCUUCACACGUCAUACAAUGGUCGGGACAGAGGGUCGCUUAACCCGCGAGGAGCCAAUCCCAGAAACCCGAUCGUAGUCCGGAUCGCAGUCUGCAACUCGACUGCGUGAAGUCGGAAUCGCUGGGUAAACGUGAUUCUGCAGCAUGUCGCGGUGAAUACGUUCCCGGGUCUUGUACACACCGCCCGUCACACCAUGGGAGUGGGUUUUACCAGAAGUAGUUAGCCUAACCGUAAGGGGAGGGCGAUUACCACGGUAGGAUUCAUGCAUCAGGUGAAGUCGUAACAAGGUAA
rnacentral:rRNA from 1 species